UACGAACUGUGCAAACGUUAUUCGGAAUCACUGGGCUUAAAGGGUGCGUAGGCGGCUUAUCAAGUAGGGUGUGAAAGCCCCCGGCUUAACCGGGGAAUUGCGCCCUAAACUGCUGAGCUGGAGUGAGAUAGGGGUGUGUGGAACUUCCGGUGGAGCGGUGAAAUGUGUUGAUAUCGGAAGGAACGCCGGUGGCGAAAGCGACACACUGGAUCUUAACUGACGCUGAGGCACGAAAGCCAGGGGAGCGAACGGG
rnacentral:rRNA from 1 species